UACAAAGGGUGCAAGCGUUAAUCGGAAUUACUGGGCGUAAAGGGUGCGUAGGCGGUUGUUUAAGUCUGUCGUGAAAUCCCCGGGCUCAACCUGGGAAUGGCGAUGGAUACUGGACAGCUAGAGUGUGUCAGAGGAUGGUGGAAUUCCCGGUGUAGCGGUGAAAUGCGUAGAGAUCGGGAGGAACAUCAGUGGCGAAGGCGGCCAUCUGGGACAACACUGACGCUGAAGCACGAAAGCGUGGGGAGCAAACAGG
rnacentral:rRNA from 1 species